rfam:Strongylocentrotus purpuratus Contig100549_fixed, whole genome shotgun sequence.
ACAGUAAAAAAGUGGGGCCAUUGAAGGAGCGUUCACGUCGUGGUCCCUGUCAGAUGAAAAUCUGCGAAUCCUUCA